rnacentral:rRNA from 1 species
UACGAAGGGGGCUAGCGUUGCUCGGAAUCACUGGGCGUAAAGCGCACGUAGGCGGAUUGUUAAGUCAGGGGUGAAAUCCUGGAGCUCAACUCCAGAACUGCCUUUGAUACUGGCGAUCUCGAGUCCGGGAGAGGUGAGUGGAACUGCGAGUGUAGAGGUGAAAUGCGCAGAUAUCAGGAGGAACACCGGUGGCGAAGGCGGAUCUCUGGGCCUGUCCUGACGCUGAGGCGCGAAAGCUAGGGGAGCGAACAGG